AUCGUCUAGCGGUCUAGGACGCCGCCCUUUCACGGCGGAAACACGGGUUCGAUUCCCGUUGG
rnacentral:tRNA from 1 species